CUUAAAAAUAAAUUCAAUGACAUUUCAAAUUAAUUUACCAAAAUAGAAUUAAAAAAAAAACUUUUUAAAUGUAGUGUUUCAAAAUUGUCUACAGUGUAUAUUCGACAAGUAUAGAAUUAUAUACUAAAGAAAAAUUUUCAUUUAACAAGAUGUAUAUAUUUAUCACAAGAAUUAUCGAGGAUAGGUGUGCCGAUACUUCAACAAAUUUUUAAAAAUUUAUCCACUGGUUACGUAAACUAUUCGAAAACUAGUAAUGAAGAUAAAAAUUCCGAAAAAAUAAUUCUUUUGGGACACGACGAUAAAGUCUUAGGAAUUAGGAUGAAGUCUGAAGCAGAAUUAUUUGCAAAUAAAAAAGACAUGACGUAA